GGCCGACUAGCUCAGUUGGUUAGAGCGUGGUGCUAAUAUGGCUUACGUAAAACCCAAUUAUGUAAUGCUUACGUAACGCCAAGGUCGUCGGUUCGAUCCCGGCGUUGGCCA